rnacentral:lncRNA from 1 species
UUGAAACAACAAUAAUAUAAACUAUCAACGCAACAAUUAUUGAAUCAAUAAAAUAAAAUAUUGAACAGUAACUACUGUAACAAUUAUUGAGUAGUGCCUUCUUACGUAAGAAUCAAUAAUUCCAAAAAUACUGUGCAAUACCGUGUACUACAGUGCAACCACGCGUAUUACUGUAUUUUAACCACCUGGUAUUCCAAUAGUAUUAACGGUAACAAUUACACCAUUAUUUAUAAAACUCAAACUUUGUAGUUUUCU